CUCUUGAACGCAUCGGAAACUGAAGGAUGGACGCGAGAGCAGCGAGAGCACAGUGCCACUGCUAUCAGAAAAUAGUAGACCGCUUACUAACGCCAUUCAGUGCUUUCAAACAUGCACUGCAUAGGUUGUCUCUUGAUGCCGGUCUACAGAUGUGUCCCUGGACGUGGAGCCAUUGCGCAGAGAGCGCGAGAGAAAACUGCAUCUUUGAACUGGAACCUUGAUGGCGAGUGAGAGGAAUCCGAAAAACCAUCGAUGAAGCAAACCAGUCGCAACUCUAAUGCCUACAUGAUGCUCACCUCAAGAUUCUUAGAGCCAAACAACAUCCGACGACUUCUGCACUCCUCUCCUUUCAUUAAAGCCGACCCGGAAGCUAACAGCGCCCUGGUUCCCUCAUCAAAAAGCCAAUGGGAUUUUCCACUGGAUUUUGGAUUGUUGCAGAAAAUGAGCUCUUUGGGUGGCUGUUGAAAGAGAAGCGCGAUCACACUCACCAAGCAACACGUCUCUCCUUACUGUUGUCCAACGAGUCCAAACAAUCCCCCAUGACAACAGUUAUCAGCAGCCAUCAGGCGCCACGUCAGUGAAGGUCCUGGUUGAAUGACCAGCCUGUGAGAUGGAUGGAUGAUGACUAUCAUUGGCACACCGUCACAAGUUCUGGGUCAAGAUCAUCGGGGAAGUUCUUCUGAUAAAGAUUUCCUCAUGUGAGAGGAUACCACACAUCUACACAACCAGGAAACCACGUUUUGCACAUGAAAAGGUGACAGAGAAGAGCUUGACGGAGAAGUCUGCAACAACUGCAUGAGUGUUCCUGUUGUCCCUGCCGUCCCUGUUGUCCCUGCUGUUUCGUUCCUGCUCUCCCUGCCAUAUUCCUGCCCUGUUCUUCACCCUAGUUCUUUUCAUCAACCUGGUUUGUUUCAGUCUAGUUUUGUUCAUGUUUUAUUUGUACUUUGUAUUUUUGUUCACCUGUUGGUUCUUUGUGGAUAAACUUCAGCAUUA